rnacentral:tRNA from 1 species
CCCGUAGUGUAGCGGUUAUCACGUCGCCCUGUCACGGCGAAGAUCGCGGGUUCGAUUCCCGUCGGGA